GGGGUUUUCGGACCUAGCGGCGGACGGGUGAGUAAUGCGUAGGAAGCUACCCGACAGAGGGGGAUACCAGUUGGAAACGACUGUUAAUACCGCAUAAUGUCUACGGACCAAAGUGUGGGACCUUCGGGCCACAUGCUGUCGGAUGCGCCUACGUGGGAUUAGCUAGUUGGUGAGGUAAUGGCUCACCAAGGCGACGAUCCCUAGCUGGUUUGAGAGGAUGAUCAGCCACACUGGAACUGAGACACGGUCCAGACUCCUACGGGAGGCAGCAGUGGGGAAUAUUGGACAAUGGGCGCAAGCCUGAUCCAGCCAUGCCGCGUGUGUGAAGAAGGCCUUCGGGUUGUAAAGCACUUUCAGCGAGGAGGAAGGGUUGUGUGUUAAUAGCACAUAGCUUUGACGUUACUCGCAGAAGAAGCACCGGCUAACUCUGUGCCAGCAGCCGCGGUAAUACAGAGGGUGCAAGCGUUAAUCGGAAUUACUGGGCGUAAAGCGCACGCAGGCGGUUGGUUAAGUCAGAUGUGAAAGCCCCGGGCUCAACCUGGGAAUUGCAUUUGAAACUGGCCAACUAGAGUACGUGAGAGGGGGGUAGAAUUCCAAGUGUAGCG
rnacentral:rRNA from 1 species